rnacentral:lncRNA from 1 species
CAUGACUCAGCACCUUGCCUGGCUGGGGACAAGCCAGGCUCAGGACCCACAGAACUCCAGAUUGCGGCUCCAGAUCAGGCAGAAUCAUUUGAGAGGAUUCAUACAGGAGUGAGAACUGCACCACAAGAGGGGAGGCAGAGAGCAUGGACAGAACGUGGAUCGUGGGGGAGAUGUAGUGGAUUCAGGCCUGGAUUUCCUUUCAGUUUUCUUUCAGGUUUCCUUUCAAUAAGAAUGCACUCCACAUGGGGCGCCUGGGUGGCUCAGUGGGUUAAGCCUCUGCCUUCGGCUCAGGUCAUGAUCUCAGGGUCCUGGGAUGGAGUCCCUGCAUCAGGCCCUCUGCUCAGCAGGGAGCCUGCUUCCCCCUCUCUCUGUCUGCUGCUCUGCCUGCUUGUGAUCUCUCUCUCUCUCUCUCUGUCUGUGUCAAGUAAAUAAAUAAAAUCUUAAAAAAAAAAUGCAGUCUACUGGGUGCUCUCCUGGGUUCUCUAGGGUUGAGGCCAUGGAAGGGACUAUUUCUGAAGGCAGGCAGCAGGCUAGAACCAGCCACAUUACCAUCUAGCAAAU